UGACUGCGCCUUCCUGGAUCACCACUCACUUGCAAGCACCAAGAAAGCCACGAUGAAGAAACUUGUGCUCAUAUUGGUCGUCGUUCUACUCUGCGAAGUGGCACUAACGGAAGCGGCACGUCCUGCUCCCGCAAGAGGUGGCGGUGGGAAGAAACCGGCGCUUUGCAAUGGUAAAAGAUGUAAACCGAACGAGUACUGCCAAGAAGGUUUUUUGGCACCCACGCAAUGUCUUCCGAAAGAUUACAGGCGAUGACAACUUCCUGCCCGUGAUGGAAAAUCGUUUCCGCAAGAAACCUGCCGCACGGAAAAAAACACAUGAGGGACAUGAGCGGCAUCAAUGUUUUGACUGACUGAAUAAAGUUACUUGUGCU
rnacentral:lncRNA from 1 species